AAACUUUCAGCAACGGAUCUCUUGGUUCUCGCAUCGAUGAAGAACGCAGCGAAAUGCGAUAAGUAGUGUGAAUUGCAGAAACAGUGAAUCAUCGAAUCUUUGAACGCACAUUGCGCCUCCUGGCAUUCCGGGAGGCAUGCCUGUUCGAGCGUCAU
rnacentral:rRNA from 1 species